AAGUCGUAACAAGGUUUCCGUAGGUGAACCUGCGGAAGGAUCAUUAACACGAAUUUUAUCCAAUAUCAAAAACAAACCGUGAACUUUUCCCCUCCCUAUUUUGUUUUAAAAACACGAAAUAGGCUAACCUUUUUUUAAAAUUAUUUUUAACCACUUUAAUUUUAUCAGUCUGAUGUUUAAUUACAUUAUAAAGACUAACUAAACUAAAAAAUUUUACUUAAGAUGUAAUGUCUUAAUUAAAUAUUUUUUCUUUACGAAAUAAAUAUUUUACUUAUAAGAACAACUCUUAGCAAUGGAUAUCUUGGUUCUC
rnacentral:misc_RNA from 1 species